CAGUGGGUGAGGGAUGGUUUUUUGGUUCAUUAAUCUUCCAGUACCAAUGAGGCCUCAGAUACUUCCAGGACUCAUCUUUAAUAUUGUCCUUCCUAGUUUAAACUGAAAUCAAUUAUUGCGUCCACUUCCUUGACCAUUGACAAGUAGUUUUGAGUGCUUGAUUAUUCAGCCAAUUUGUCCAAAUACAAUGAGUCAGGUAUGGUAAUUAUAUUUCAGUCCUUCAUUUUCUGAACUAUACAAUCAGCUUUUGACAUGAACGCUUGCCAGUGAUUAAUUGAGCGAUGGAUUUAUACUUCACAUGAACUCUAGCAUGUCCCGUCACUCAAUUGAAAUGGUACCCAUGCUCCUAGUUAUUGGUUAACCUAGCCAAUAGCCAUAAGUUCUUGGCACUUUCUGUGAGCAUCCUUACUGUAGACACUUUACUGACAAAUGCAACAAGUUGCUCUGGAUAGAAUUGAAACGCAAUUAUUCUCCGUGAGCCAAACUCUUGACUGGGGCUUAUUUGUCGAAUGAGCAAGUAUCACACAGAUUCAGUUAUGUGGUAACCAAAGUUUAUUAUGGCGUUAAAAACAGCUUUGGUUCUGGUGUUAAAAGAUUGGUUCGUCCCGCAGAGAUCCACAUCUGCUGGUCCAGGGUCAGUGUGUCAAUCCAGCGCUGGGCCGUAUUCUUUCUUGAAGACUGGCUCCACGCAUGCUGCUUCCACUCUGGACGCCUGGCCCGAUCACCGCUUCACCACACAGGACAGGAACAGCUGCUGGGAGAGGGCGUCUACUUUGACCUCUGCCUCAUCUUCCUCCUCUUACGCUUCAGUCUGUUGGAAACAAGAAACUGGUUAGAAACUGGACACAAGAUCCCAGAUUAGUUUUUCUGCCCUUAAAGCAGUACACUAUGUACCAGGGAGCACCACCCUUUGAGGAGUGCCUUACUCAGUAGGGUCUUAGUAAGAUACAGCACUAGAUAUGCGUGUUGCCGUCAUGCAUCAGGGAUAAAAGCUUUAUCUAUUUUUUUACACUAGUUUCUACUAUACAUGUCCUGCAACAGACUUUUACAAUUGUAACAAGGUCCCGCUUUAAGCAGAGCAACAGGCCAUGUCCAUGAAAGACCAAACUGUAGCAAUCAUAGAACAGGGUAUCUGCAGGUUUCAGCAAGUCAAAUUUAAGACUUUUUAAGACCUUUUUAAUACCACCUUGAAUGAAAUUUAAGACCUUAAACCCGCGAUGAUGGGGGGGAUUCCGCUGUAUUACAACCCAAGCAUAGCAUGUGCGUCACUCAAUGAGACUCAUUCAAGUUUACUUUCUGUCUGUUUAUUGAACAUAAAGUGAUACUCCAGGGCUCCAGACUAACUUUUUCCUUGGGUGCACUGGUGCUCCUAAAUUUUUAAUUUGG
ensembl:lncRNA